AGGGAUAUAGCCAAGUCGGUAAGGCACCGGAUUUUGAUUCCGGCAUGCGUAGGUUCGAGUCCUGCUAUCCCUGCCA
rnacentral:tRNA from 1 species